GGAGAGGUCGCAUAGCGGUCUAGUGCGCGGCUUUGGAGAAGCCGUGUGGGCGCAAGCUCACCGGGGGUUCAAAUCCCCCCCUCUCCG
rnacentral:tRNA from 1 species